GCCAGGGUAGCUUAGUUGGUAGAGCACCGGAUUCAUAUCCCGGCGGUCGUGGGUUCGAAUCCCACCUCUGGCA
rnacentral:tRNA from 4 species